UUUAUCUCCUCUCAUGUCUCUCUCUCCCCCGCUAUUUUGUAAGUUCUGUGUUGCCUUCCCUUCAAGCCAACCUAUUGUGAGCUGAUUGCAGCACACGAGGGAGACCUGGGCCCCCGUCGGCACCUGCCCUGCCUGAGGACCCAGAGGGAAGGCAGGGGCUGAGCAGGAGAGCCCCCAGGGCUGCGGCCGGAGCCUCCUCGUCCACCCCAGCCUGGCCGCGUGCCCCAGAGGCCGGAGCAGCUGUCCCCGCAGGCGGGCUCUUCCAGGAUCCCCCACGGAACUGCUGCACCACGGGGCUUUGGGUUGAGCACCAGAAAGGGCCCGUCCUGGUGGCACCAGCCACAAGGGACUGGGCAGCCGGACAGGGACUCACGGAGGUCCCAGGAAGCUGGGGACCCCGACGUGGGCGUGCCCAAAGAGGGGCGCCGAAGCCUGGCUGCGCACUCUCUGCCCCCUGCGAGGUCCGCGGGCUGUCAUUUGCUCACCCCACGGUGACGUCCCCAUGUCACUGCCUGGGUCCGGGAGGCAGGGGCU
rnacentral:lncRNA from 1 species